rnacentral:rRNA from 1 species
CAGUCGCCACGGGAAUACGAAGGGGGCUAGCGUUGUUCGGAAUUACUGGGCGUAAAGCGCACGCAGGCGGCUCGAUAAAUUAGAAGUGAAAGCCUUGGGCUUAACCUGAGAAUUGCUUUUAAGACUGUCGAGCUAGAAUCCAGAAGAGGGUAGUGGAAUUCCGAGUGUAGAGGUGAAAUUCGUAGAUAUUCGGAAGAACGCCAGUGGCGAAGGCGACUACCUGGACUGGCAUUGACGCUCAUGUGCGAAAGCGUGGGGGGCAAACAGGAUUAGAUACCCCGGUAGUCCCUGUCUCUUAUAC